rnacentral:piRNA from 1 species
UCUUUAUGCGGGUUGCUAGGUUAGGUUUC